CUACGGGGCGCUGCAGUGAGGAAUAUUGCACAAUGGGGGGAACCCUGAUGCAGCAACGCCGCGUGGAGGAUGACGCAUUUCGGUGUGUAAACUCCUUUUAUAUGUCAAGAAAAUGACGGUAGCAUAUGAAUAAGCACCGGCUAACUCCGUGCCAGCAGCCGCGGUAAUACGGAGGGUGCAAGCGAUGACUCGGAAUCACUGGGCGCAAAGGACGCGUAGGCGGGUUGGAAAGUCAGGUGUGAAAUCCUACAGCUUAACUGUAGAACUGCACUUGAAACUUCUAAUCUAGAGUAUGGGAGGGGGAGAUGGAAUUAGUGGUGUAGGGGUAAAAUCCGUAGAUAUCACUAGGAAUACCUAAAGCGAAGGCGAUCUCCUGGAACAUUACUGACGCUAAGGCGUGAAAGCGUGGGGAGCAAACAGGAUUAGAUACCCUAGUAGUC
rnacentral:rRNA from 1 species